ACUUAGUGGCAGACGGGUGAGUAACAUGUGGGUAUCUACCCUUUGGCCUGGAAUAACACGAGGAAACUUGUGCUAAUACCGGAUAAGUCUUUACGGAGAAAGCUUUAUGCACCAUUGGAGGAGCCCGCACUUGAUUAGUUUGUUGGUAGGGUAAUGGCCUACCAAGACUAUGAUCAAUAGCUGAUUUGAGAGGAUGAUCAGCCACAUUGGGACUGAGACACGGCCCAAACUCCUACGGGAGGCAGCAGUGGGGAAUCUUGCACAAUGGAGGAAACUCUGAUGCAGCGAUGCCGCGUGAGUGAAGAAGGCCUUUGGGUUGUAAAGCUCUUUCGUCGGGGAAGAAAAUGACUGUACCCGAAUAAGAAGGUCCGGCUAACUUCGUGCCAGCAGCCGCGGUAAUACGAAGGGACCUAGCGUAGUUCGGAAUUACUGGGCUUAAAGAGUUCGUAGGUGGUUGAAAAAGUUGGUGGUGAAAUCCCAGAGCUUAACUCUGGAACUGCCAUC
rnacentral:rRNA from 1 species